GCGGAUGUGAUGGAACUGGUAGACAUGCAAGAUUUAGGUUCUUGUGCCGUGAGGCGUGGGGGUUCAAGUCCCUUCAUCCGUACCA
rnacentral:tRNA from 36 species